CGGCGGCGCGCAGGCCGAGCGGCGCUUCCUCAGGCGGCCCGCGGCGGCGGCCCGAGCGCCUCACCCUCGCCGAGGUCGCGCGCCCCCUGCUCGGCCGGCCCCGGGCCCGCGCGGGAUCGUGCGUCCCCCCUCGUCCCUGAGGGGAAGGCACCGAGGCGGCGGCGGCGGCGCCCCGUCCCUCCCCCGCCGCACCCCGCCGGGCGCCAGAGGACAGCCGAGCCCCGCGGGCGGGCGGGCGGCGAAGAUGGCAGAGGCGCCGGCCUCCCCGGGCCCGCUCUCGCCGCUCGAAGUGGAGCUGGACCCGGACUUCGAGCCCCAGAGCCGGCCGCGCUCCUGCACGUGGCCCCUGCAGAGGCCGGAGCUCCAGGGCAGCCCGGCCAAGCCCUCGGGGGAGGCGGCCGCCGAUCCCGCGAUCCCGGAGGAGGACGACGGCGACGACGACGAGGACGGCGGCGGGAGGGCCGGCUCGGCCAUGGCGAUCGGCGGCGGCGGCGCGCUGGGCUCCGCGCUGCUCCUCGAGGACCCGGCGCGGCUGCUGGCUCCCGGGGGGCAGGACCCGGGGUGCGGACUCGCCCCCGCGGCGGGCGCGCGGAGCGGGGGGACGCAGACGCCGCUGCAGCCUCAGCAGCCACUGCCGCCGCCGCAGCCGGGGGCGGCCGGGGGCUCCGGGCAGCCCAGGAAAUGCUCGUCGCGCAGGAACGCCUGGGGGAACCUGUCCUACGCCGACCUGAUCACUCGCGCCAUCGAGAGCUCCCCGGACAAGCGGCUCACGCUGUCCCAGAUCUACGAGUGGAUGGUGCGCUGCGUGCCCUACUUCAAGGAUAAGGGCGACAGCAACAGCUCCGCGGGCUGGAAGAACUCCAUCCGGCACAACCUGUCGCUGCACAGCCGCUUCAUGCGCGUGCAGAACGAGGGCACCGGCAAGAGCUCGUGGUGGAUCAUCAACCCCGACGGCGGCAAGAGUGGCAAGGCCCCGCGGCGGCGCGCCGUGUCCAUGGACAACAGCAACAGGUACGCCAAGAGCCGCGGCCGCGCCGCCAAGAAGAAGGCGGCGCUGCAGGCGGCCCCCGACGCGGCAGACGACAGCCCCGCUCAGCUCUCCAAGUGGCCCGGCAGCCCCGCGUCGCGCGGCGGCGACGAGCCGGACGCCUGGACGGACUUCCGCUCGCGCACCAACUCCAACGCCAGCACCGUGAGCGGCCGCCUGUCGCCCAUCCUGGCGGGCGCCGAGCUGGACGACGCCGCGGAUGAGGACGCGCCGCUGUCGCCCAUGCUGUACGGCAGCCCCACCAGCCUGUCGCCGUCGGUGAGCAAGCCGUGCGCCGUGGAGCUGCCGCGGCUCACCGAUAUGGCGGGCACCAUGAACCUGAACGACGGGCUGGCCGACAGCCUCAUGGACGGCCUGCUGGACACCAUGGCCCUGCCAGCGGCACAGCCCGCGGCUGCGGCGCUGCUGCCGCGGAGCCCCGGCUUCCCCUACCAGGCCAAGGGUUCCGGCCUGGGCUCCCCGCCCGGCUCCUUCGGCGCCGCCGCGUUCGGGCCCUCGGCGCUCGCCUCCCUGCGCCAGUCUCCCAUGCAGACCAUCCAGGAGAACAAGCCAGCCACCUUCUCGUCCCUGCCGCACUACGGCGCCCAGACGCUCCAGGACCUGCUCACGUCCGACUCGCUCAGCCACAGCGACGUCAUGAUGACCCAGUCGGACCCGCUGAUGUCCCAGGCCAGCAGCGCCGUGUCUGCCCAGAACUCGCGCCGGAGCGUGAUGCUCCGCAGCGACCCGAUGAUGUCCUUUGCUGCCCAGCCUGCCCAGGGCAGUUUGGUCGGUCAGAACUUGCUCCACCACCAGCACCAAGCCCAGGGCGCGCUCAGUGGCAGCCGUGCCUUGUCAAAUUCCGUCGGCGCCAUGGGCCCGAGCGACUCCAGCAGCCUGGGGUCCGCCAAGCACCAGCAGUCUCCCGUCAGCCAGUCUAUGCAAGCCCUCUCGGACUCCCUCUCAGGCCCCUCCCUGUACUCGGCCGGUGCAAACCUGCCCGUCAUGGGCCACGAGAGGUUCCCCAGCGACCUGGACCUGGACAUGUUCAACGGGAGCUUGGAGUGCGACAUGGAGUCCAUCAUCCGCAGUGAGCUCAUGGACGCGGACGGGCUGGAUUUUAACUUUGACUCCCUCAUCUCCACGCAAAACGUUGUUGGUCUGAGCGUGGGGACCUUCACUGGUGCUAAGCAGGCCUCAUCUCAGAGCUGGGUGCCAGGCUGAAGGACCACUGAGGAAGGGGAAGUGGGCGAAGCAGAUGCCAAGACCGCAGAGGGACUCACUCUCACCAGAGACUGGGUGACAGCAUCCACAGAUAUUUCUAGAACACGUUCAUCAUCUGAUCUCCCCGUUUCAUCUUCCUCGCAUCAACAGCCCGAUUUCAGACUUCUCACUGGGCAGGGAGGGGACGGAUGUGCUCGGCCCCUGUUAAUGAAAGUCGCGGAUAGGAUGGGUCGUUCCAUCUGUUUUGUCACUUGGCCCGUCGCCUAGUAACUGCGGUGUGAUCGCUCCGAGUCCCUCCAGCUGCAUGCUUGCUCUUCCUUCCAAAGUUUCGCUUAGUCCAAUGGGUUUUUAAACUUAGAAGGGCAUCAACAUCCAUAAACCUCCCAGUUACCUAAAGUGUUUUACUCUAAACAGUGUAAGAGUGCCGAGAGCUUCAUUGAAAGCCAUGAAAUGUGAACCCACCCUACGUACCAGUCAGUCCCCGCAUCACAGCCGGCCUCUUGCCAGACGUGCUUCCUCUGUUCUCCCAGGGCUCGGUGAAGUCAGAGAAACGUGUGCAAAUGGAGCCACCAAACAAUGCUUAAAAAUCUAAGGCAGGUGAGGGGCUGCUCUCCUUAGGACUGUUUUCAGCCAAGAGGUCUUCCUCAGAGUGGUGAUUCCGGUGUUCCUCUUACAUGAUUAUAUUUAUCUUCCUUUAGUUUUCACAGCCCAUUUGCCCUCAGUUGUGGAGGAACCAGUUACCUCUGUCCUGUGGAGAAGGAGUCUCUGUAUUAAUUUUGUCCUCCGUGAGAGCUGCCUGUAGGCCUGGGCCUCUGUGCACCACACCUCCAGGCCCAGGCUGGCGCCCAAGCAUGCGGGGGGCGUCACUGGUGAGGCCCCGGGGAGUGCAGGACCGAGCACCCCGGGGUCCUGGGAACCAGCCGCAGCGGGGGAGAGAGCAGUGGGGAGGGCGGCCCCUCCUAAUGGGCGAACUCCCCCGAGGGGCCGGGCCCUCCAGUGAGGGAAGGGGCAUUUGGCAGGAGCUGUGGGUGGCAGUGCCCUAGGCAGCCUGGUCCGCUCAGGGUGCCGCGCUGGGACUCUGAGGUGCCCUCUGCUUGCGCCCCUCCUGUGCUGCCCCAGCUCCAGCAUUGGAGCAGGCUGCACGCCCUGCCUCUGCUCUCGGGGAGUGCGCUGAGUCACCUUCCCCAGCGCUGCACUGGGCCCAUGGCUGGAUAAUUAACACCAAAGGGAACCGGGGGUGGGGUGUGAGUUAGGUAAUGCCCUGCAGUUUCUCCCUGGGCACUUGCAGUAAGUUGUCCAGAUUGGGACUUGGGUGGUCGGUCCCCUGAUGCCUCACCGCAUAGUGAUGUUAGGGGUGGGUUACCAGGCGCUGCUGGAAAGGGAAACCCGAACCCCCUUGCACAGGACUGUAUCGCACCCUGCCCCUCAAGCCUCAGGGCGGGGAGAGAAGGGGAAGGGCGUGACCCCAGCAGGCAGAGUGCCUCAGAGGUGCUGCUCAGCUCUACUCAGCCUGCCUGCCCUGAAGCGACAAGCCGCUCUUGUACAGCCUGCGGUGAUGCUGCCCAGCACCUUACAGAGCAGAGAAACCCUCCGAGAGGCCACCAGCCGGGCGGCGGGAUCUGGGGGCAGGAGAAGGGCCGUCUCCCGCUCUGUUGCCCGUGCCCCUGCUGAAAGCCAGGGUCCUUCCUUUGGGGCCGUAACAGGGCUGCUGCGCCCAGGGCCUGUGGUGUGGCAGACACCGGGCCCCGCCAGCUCCUGCGCGUUGGGAGUGGGAGGAAGCGCCGGCCAGUCCGGCCGCAGAGGAGAUGGAGGUCACACGUACACACAUGUGCGACAGCUGCAGAUGGGUUUACAUGACGUUUCAUGGAUGGAGUGAGUGUGCGUGUGGCUGAGUGUGUUUGACUGCGUGUGGGUCUCUGUUUGUGAGCUCACUGAUGCUUCAGUGCCCAUCCACUUUAUCUGGCCAGAACACCGUGAGCUGCGGUAGCUCCCCGGCCACGCUCUGCAUUUCCUGGCCUGGAACCUGUGUUUUAUCUACCACCACAGCCGACACUGUGCCUGCGAACCGAAGGUCUCCUUCUGUAGGCCUGUCGCGUCCGCGCCUGCAGCCGCGUCUCUGAGUGUACUGCUCCUUCUCCAGUCCUCCAGCGUCCCUGGGCUUGGUGGCCGCAUGGUCUGUGGAAGACUUGUGUAAAUUCAGACUCUCCGAGGGGGCCUCUUUCGUGCCUUACAUUGAAGACUGGGGAAAAAUAAUGCUAAUUAUUAAAGGGAUGUUUUGUGGAUGUUUUUUGUGGCCAUAUGUGUGUGUGAUAUAGAUAUUUUCUGUAGAUUUUUAAUAUAAAAAGCAAAUUCGUAAGACAGCCCAUGUGGAGAUGAAUUACUCCUUUUUAGUGGGGGGGAGAAGAUUCCCCCACCCAGCGGUGCAGAUUAAGCCUUUGGAAAGGGGCCAGUUACACCUGGCCUGGUAUAGGAUUUGGGGUCCACACAGCCCCUGGGGGAGAACCAGAGAAGCCCAGCUGGUCCACUUAGGGUGACCAGCCCCCUGGCUUCAGCAGAGAAGUCCAGAGUCCCAUACGCCCUCCAGAAGGCUGGAGUGGAACUCGUCUGUACCCUGGGCAGCCUGCUGGCACACCCCCUGCUCGCCUUUCCCUGUUAGCCUCCAGACACGAGUGGCUCCACCUCCCCCAGGCUUUUCAACCUGAGAGCUUUUUGUGAUCAAGCACAGAAAUGAGGUGAGUAGUCUCCACUCUUUGUCCUGUUUGCAGACUCUUGAAGCUGGUGAAGCGAAGCAGACAGCUGCGCCCCGAGGCCCUUGGCUCAGAGCGGGGACCCUCAAACUGACACAAGACCUACAGAGAAAACCCUUUGCCAAAUCUGCUCUCAGCAAGUGGACAAUGAUACCGUUUACAGCUUAACGCCUUUGUGAGUCCCACACCAUGUUCCUAGCCCAGCGGAGACUGGUAACAGCCCCUGCCCCAGGGGAAGCACCCACCCUUGGAACAGGACCCUGUGCACAGUACGCAGAAUCUUCCUCUACGGGGCGAUGAGCCACCUGCCAGCGAAGGACCAUGCCCGGUCAGCACCCCGCCUCCUCCAGAGCACACCCGGAGCCCCCACUGGCUGCUGUGGCGGUUCAAUACUGCGAUGGGUUAUGGGAUGUUUUAAGUGUUGUUUUUGUGUUUGUUUUUCCUGACUUUGAGUUUUUCUCAUGCAUUAACUUGCAGUAUUUUUAUGUUAAAAUGUUGAUCAUCUUUCACGUGGCAGAUUUAGAAACAAGGAAACUGUACCCAUUACCAUUCUGGCUUUGGCGUCACGAGCACGGGGCCGUGGGACUCCGUCAUGAACUAACAAGCUGCACAAACUAGAGGGAGAUUGCUUUCUUCUUUUGUUUGUUAGAGAACUACUCUUUUCUAAAAACUGAGCAACAGCACACAUGUUGGCUGUGCACACAGUCAGGGACCGGGCUCUGCACAGGUGGAAGCAUCGGUGUGCUGCCUGGGCCGCACGUGUUUCAGCCCCACGUCGAGUGGUCGGGGGUCAGGCCCCCACGCCUGCUCUGCAGUUGCCAGACAAGUAGGGCCUGUCGCCUUCCGUCAGCAGCCUCAGCUAAUGCAGUGAGCAGUGAAGGGAUGUUGGUUAGAAACUAGAACCUGCUCCAGACAGAAAGGAGCUCAUCUGUCCACGCACUGCCAAAUGCCACUUCAGGGUUUACUUUUAAAGAGGGAAAAAAGUCCUAUUUUGCUUUGCAGAAGAAAUGAACUUCCAGGUGAGCAUUAAACCUGCAGUGAGAAAUGUGUGAAAAGUACAAACCGAAGUCACUAUUUUCCUAAAUACACACCCUUGAUUACUUGCAGCCUUUCUGUGUAUGAUCUGAUCUGCUAGAUGUGUGACAGGCAGUAGCAUACAAAUUGAUUUUAUAUAUGUAUGUAUGUAUAUAUGUACAUAUAUAUAUAAGCUUAGACUGUAAUUGUACAAGUGACAAUGGAAGUACAAGAUAGGGCAGUUUUAAGGUUUUUUCCCCCACUUUCUUGCUUCUCUGGAUUUCAUUUUGUUUUCAAAAAGUCACGGUGCUGUGUAGGUGCUUCUGUUUGACCUGGAAAGUGUGAUUAUAUUAGUUACCCUCAGUAGACAGAGAGCUGGGAACACCUUUGGUAUGUAGGAAGCUGGGGUGACGAUGCUCUGACAGCACAGUGUAUGCAUACUUCUCCAAAGUGGUAUAUAAAGACUCUUUUCUUUGCAUAAAAGGCAUUAGACAUAUAAAUGUAUAAAUAUAUUUUAUCAUGUACAGUACAGCAACGGAGCAUUCUGCAUGGACGUUAGGAACACAGGCUGGGAUUCCACCACAGACCUCCCUGCACAAGUUCUCGCUGACGCUUGCACCGUGCAGUGGGCGCUGCCCCUUCCCCCGCCGCUCGCCACCAGGGGCCCUUGUGCACCUUUGCUUUGUGAUUCCUCUGGGGUGGUGGUGGGGGGGGUGGUAACAGCUCCUGCAUAAUGGAAGCUCCAUUUGGCAUUGUCACACGUCCCUCCUGCCCCGUUGGGGCUGUCGCUCAGUGGCCCUGUUGCUUUCACCCCACCUCGUACUGAUUCUGUAAAUUCUGCAGUUGUGAUUAUAGUAGACCUGUAGCAUAACGCCUUUUCUAAACUACACAUUUAUAAUCUUCAUUUUAGAAGUAUGUAUAAUUUUUUAAAAAUAUGUAUCCUAUUCACGUGGUCUGCUUGUCAGUGAGACAGGCUUUUGCUUACUAUUUUUUUUACAAUAACGCUGGCCACUUCUUGGUUCUUUGGUCGUCUGCUGGACACACACACUGUGCCGUGUCAGCGAAGGAGGCUGCCCCUCUGGGUCCCAACGUGGCACUGCCAGGUGAGGCUACAGUUCUGAGACGGCGGUGGCCACUGCAGGGAGUAGGGUGGGGGCGCCCAACACCAGGCAGAUCCCCAAGAGCUCCCCUGAGCUCAGAGAGACAGGCUAACAAGUAGCCAUUUGCCCUUGCAGUUUUGUAGACCCUGGGAGCAACUUUGGGAGUGAGGAAAGCCACCCUUCAUGGGUUUCAACUCCAACUGUUGAAUUCCUUUCAGAUUUGUGGUAUUUCUUUUUUUUUUUUUUCCUCUCAAUGUUUAUUAAAUUUCAGGCAGGCAGAAUGUCUUACAAAAUACCCCAGAAGCAGAUUGUAACUUAACCUAAAACAGCUGAGGGAGGGACUGAGGCGGUAGGAGAGCAGGCAGCCCAGAGCCCAUCAGGAGGGUGGACGGGGAGGAUACUGUGACUGCAAGAGCGUCUCCACGCGGAGUGUCGUUGAGAGCUGAGGUCAGAGCUGUCAGGAGCCAGCAUCGGCCCCAGGAGGGGGUGAGGCCGGAAUGGGAUGGGGCAGCAGCCCCACUCACCCUUGGCCACCCGGGCUUCCCGCCCAGAGGCCCGGCUCUGCUAGACUCGCCCACUGGGUUCUGAGGCGGGCAGACUGGGCAGAGGUGUGACCUCAGUCCUCUCACUUAGAGACCCUGCUUUCAGGAAGGGCCAGCUGCCAGCCACCAGGUGCGUGCUGAGGGUCAGGGGUCCCUCACAGUGAGUGUUCUGACCUGGAGCAUCUCUACAGAAUAUUUAGUAGCCCCAGCGAGCCUGGAAGCUGUGACGUUUGCAUCCCGAUGAGCUCUACCCAAGGUUUCUGCCAGCCUCUAAAUAAGCUGCCCCAGGGUACCUUCUACUUGCUGGUGGGAAAUCAGAAAGAGGACUGGUGUUGAAAGUGUGACAGGCACCCCAGGGCUCUGGUUCUCUUCAGGACUCCAAAACCCGGUACCUUUUACCAAAGUCAGAAAAGAGCUUUAUCAUAAGCCCUCACUGUCCUGGUGUGAGGCCUAAUUGCCAGGGUUGGUGAACCCCAUGAACUGUGAAUGAAUUGGAGGUUGGCUUCCUUUAUUGCAUCCUCUACAAUAUAAUGAUUGCUGAAACACGUAUUUUUUUUAACUUUAAGAAGUUCGUCUUUCCCAGUGGGAGGAGCUGCACACAUGUGGAAGACAAUAUGAGAGUGUGUGUGUGCAUGUGCGUGUGUGUAGUGGUGGGUUCUGGUGCGUGUGUGUGUCGCUUUCCCACCCUGAGGGAGGAGGCUCACUGCUCGGGACCUGCGUGUGCCCAGCUUGCGGUGUCCUUUCAGGUGGCUUCUGAACUUGCUAACGAUGCUGGGAGCAGACCUUAUCUCUACCUAAGGAGCCCUGCUUAAAGGAUAAGGGAACCCCGAUCCCUUGGGAACACCAGUCCAUUGCACAUGCUGAUGCCACACGCUGUCAGUGGGGAACUAAAGUAUGACCCUUUUUCUCUGAAAGCAGAAACAAAACCCUACAUCUCUGAACUCGGAUUUCGUUUUUCUUGCUGUAUUUAGGGAACACUAUAUGAUUAGGCAUAAUUUUUUUUUAAUUAAGAAAAGCAAACUUUUUUGUAGAAAAGCAAUCACUGGGAAAGAGGUACGAGAAAGCCAGCCUGCCCCGGAGAUGGGGGCGGGGGAGCACCACGGCGGGAGGCGAAAUCCCGGCUGUCACAUCCUAACGGCGGUGCCCAAGGGACUGAAACAAGUACAUUUGAUCCAGAUCUUUGGUGGGAAUAUUUUAUGCAGUUUGAAUGAGUGAACUAUUUCCCUCUUGUUUAGUUUUAUUUAUGUGUGGGUUUAUUUUUCUUUCUUCUGAUGAAUGAUUGGUUCUGAGGCCUCUGCCACACUCCAGAAAUACUAGUGCGGCUGCUUUAAAAACCUGUGUGCCUGGUCACUUCCUCCUCCCCAGUUAUCUCACUGCCUGGCAAUCAGUCCUUCUCUUGUAUAUUUGUCCCAGCACGUUAUGUACACAGGAAAUGUAAACAGGUGUGAAGGAGGACCAGAAAAAUUAGUUAAUAUUAAAAAAAAUGUAUUGUGAAUUUUGGCUUCACAUGUUUAACUUUUUUUUAAGAAAAAAGUUGCAUGAAUGGAAAAAAAUCUGUAUACAGUAUCUGUAAACCUGUCAUACCUGUUUCAGUUCCUCGCUCACACCCCAUACAGACUGUGAUUCAGUGCGGUGCAUGGCCAUACGCAGCCCCUAGGAGUCAGGCAGGCGAUACUUUGGUUUGAAGCGCCUCAUCCUUUCUUUCAGGGCGAACACUACCAUGUUGCAUUCUCCCUGAGGAUUUUGUCUAACCGUAUGUCGCCAUGAAUUAACUCUACCAUCUUUCUUUUCAAGAAUCAAAACCAGUUUGAUUUGGGAACCUUCCCCUUUCCAAAUGAAAUGGAGAUGCAGUACUUUCCUCAGUGUCUGUAGAUAUUGCCUUGUGUAUUCCAUUUAAAGCCAUCAUCUAGUUUGUAAAGGAUGGUGACGCAUGUAAAUAAAGCAUCAGUGACCUUCUG